GCAGAAGGCUACAGCACCUUGGGUGUGGAACCCUAUUGUGGGAUCUCAGCACCCCAGGACUGAGGUGCCGAGCCACCGAGACCACCCUUGGGGGGCUCGGGAGUCCUGGAAUGUUGCCAGAAGUGUCUGGUGGCUGGACUUUGAUCCUACACAGGAGACGACACCUGUAUGAGGAUAGGAGGAUUUCACCGGGGUGAAUGGUGAAGGGAUUAGUUAAUUAGAGGGUGAGACACAGGGUUUAGGAUUUCUGUACAGGGGGGUUUAGAGAAGUAAGAUGGAGGAAUUGGGGCGUGUCCUGUCCUUCUUCUUCUUCUUCUUCUCCUCCAUCUUCUUUGGUGAUGGUGGCACUUUGGGAUUGGUCAUUACUGAAAGUGCACCGGAUAAUAAGAAUAAAAAGGAUUGGGGAAAAAUGAUAAAUAUUGUACACGUAACAAUGGGUAUAAAGAUAGGUGACUGUCCGGAGGGCAGCACAGUGUGCUCAUGGCUGACUGCUGAGCAGACCUCUGUCGGGCCGAAAGAAAAUCUUUUAGAUAAACAAUUAAUAAACAUAAAGACCGAAAGAAGAACUGAAGCCUCUUCUCGUCCUUUGAUACGCGGGCUGCCCCAAGGCCACUCCGGGCCCUUCCAGGCCCUUCAAACAGCCGAAAACCGGACACCCUAUGAUUGUCUAAAGCAGGCUGAAGAUUUGCAGAACAGACUCUGUAACAUGAACUUCCUCAGUCAGCACAGAAUUUCUCUUUCCUGCUUUAAACUGUUUUGGCAGCCUGUGGACACUUACUAGGAAGUUGGAAUGUCAACUGCCUCUGGUCAUCUGUCUUGGUGGUACAGUUUUUAGCAUGCCUUCUUCUGAUGGUGCCAAACAAAAUUGUGCAGUUUAAUCCAAAUAUGGCCUUCCCUAUUUAAUGCCAAAGUGUGUCUGUGGUCCUGCAAGAAAACCAUGGGAAUGGACUGCUCAGAGAGGUGAUGGAGCCAUGGUUCCCCAAGGUGUUCAAGAAAGAUCUGGAUGUGACACUUAGUGCUGUGUUUCAUUGACUAGGGGUGAUCAUUCAAAGGUAAACUCGAUGACUAAAGAGGUCUUUUCCAACCCAAAGGAUUCUGUGAUUUUUCCUAGGAUCUGUGACUGAUAAAAUACAGAGCUGAGACCAUAAUAUUUCAAGUCAAAGUCACCACAUAUCUUUCAUCUUAAAAUAAAGAUAAUGGAAUUGAAAUUAAAGUGCUUACA
rnacentral:lncRNA from 1 species